rnacentral:tRNA from 1 species
UUGUCCUUAAUUCAACGGCUAGAAUGUGUUACCGAUAAUGACAAUACAGUGGUUCGAUUCCACUAGGACAAA